CAUUGGAUACUUGUGUAUACGUAUGACGAAGUUAAGCCGCGCUCUGUGUUUGGGGUUCACAGAUACUAUACCUCCCUUUUAGGUAUAGGAACGUCCCCCAUCAUACGUAUCAAGUAUCCAUUCUUACUGGUACGUUAAACUGAGAGUGAGGUGGCUCAGUUUGACUGAUGUGCGAUGGCUCAGUCAAAAUAUUUUUUGCUAUUCCUGGCACAAACUGAGAGAGAGGUAGCUCAGUCUGCAUGUGAAGCUCUGUAACAUGCUUUUAAGGGGAAAACUGAGAGCGAGGUGGCUCAGUCUGCAUGUGAAGCUCUGUAACAUGCUUUUAAUUGUAAAAAGUAUUUUAUUUGUUUUUAUCCAAAUUUUAAUUGGGGAUAUUUUAUUGUUUUUACUGGAACAAACUGAGAGUGAGGUGGCUCAGUCUGCAUGUGAAGCUCUGUAACAUGCUUUUAAGGGGAAAAAAGUAUUUUAUUUGUUUCUAUCCAAAGUUUAAUUGGGGAUAUUUUACUGUUUUUAUCCAAAUUUUAAUUGGGGAUAUUUUAUUGUUUUUACUGGAACAAACUGAGAGUGAGGUGGCUCACCCUGCAUGUGAAGCUCUGUAACAUGCUUUUAAGGGGAAAAAAGUAUUUUAUUUGUUUUUAUCCAAAUUUUAAUUGGGGAUAUUUUACUGUUUUUAUCCAAAUUUUAAUUGGGGAUAUUUUAUUGUUUUUACUGGAACAAACUGAGAGUGAGGUGGCUCAGUCUGCAUGUGAAGCUCUGUAACAUGCUUUUAAGGGGAAAAAAGUAUUUUAUUUGUUUUUAUCCAAAUUUAAUUGGGGAUAUUUUACUGUUUUUAUCAAAAUUUUUAAUUGGGGAUAUUUAAUUGUUUUUACUGGAACAAACUGAGAGUGAGGUGGCUCAGCCUGCAUGUGAAGCUCUGUAACAUGCUUUUAAGGGGAAAAAAGUAUUUUAUUUGUUUUUAUCCAAAUUUUAAUUGGGGAUAUUUUACUGUUUUUAUCAAAAUUUUUAAUUGGGGAUAUUUUAUUGUUUUUACUGGAACAAACUGAGAGUGAGGUGGCUCAGCCUGCAUGUGAAGCUCUGUAACAUGCUUUUAAGGGGAAAACGUAUUUUAUUUGUUUUUAUCCAAAUUUUAAUUGGGGAUAGUUUACUGUUUUUAUCCAAAUUUUAAUUGGGGAUAUUUUACUGUUUUUUAUCCAAAUUUUAAUUGGGGAUAUUUUAUUGUUUUUACUGGAACAAACUGAGAGUGAGGUGGCUCAGUCUGCAUGUGAAGCUCUGUAACAUGCUUUUAAGGGGGAAAAAGUAUUUUAUUUGUUUUUAUCCAAAUUUUAAUUGGGAAUAUUUUACUGUUUUUAUCCAAAUUUUAAUUGGGGAUAUUUUUCUGCAUUUAUCCAAAUUUUAAUCGGAUAUUUUACUGUUUUUAUCUAAAUUUUAAUUAGGGAUGUUUUACUGUAUUUAUCUAAAUUUUAAUUGGAGAUAUUUUACUGUUUUUAUCCAAAUUUAUAAGUUGAGGCAGGUCAUUUUAUGAUUAUUUGGGAAAUUAGGGACUUUUUACAUUAUUUUAUCCAUUUGGGUGUGGGGGACAAAGGGAAUAUUUUACUUUUUAAGACCAAAUUUUAAUUUAUACAGGAGACCUUUUUUUUUUUAUCUUUUUUUAGUUAAAUGUUGAGCCCCCAAGUCAAAUCAAAGACUUAAAAACUGGUACUCCAAAAGGAAAAGAUAGGUGACCUACUGUGGGCAUUUGUCUUGGUGAACUAGCACCUUAAAGUCCAGCUAACCCACAGGCCGGCUGGCUAGUACAAGCAGACAGGUAUUUUUAAUACCAUUUGGCAUUUUUAAACUUUGGCAUUUUUCAUUUGGCUUUUUGUUUUAUGUGUUUUUGAACUCUUUGGAUUUAUACCAUUUGGCAAUUUUCAUUUAUGUUUUCAUUUUUUUCAACAUAUUUUGUAAUCAACACACCAAAAACACUUCAAAAUUAAGAGUGGGAUAUAUACUUUUUGGCCUCCAUAAUGUUUAUCAAUCAAAACAGCAUUCUAUUUUCAAAUUUACAUUACACAAUUUGGCUUUCUGUAACGUUGGCUGUUAAUCUUUUGUACGAAUGCUAUGAUGACCAUUAUGUGUAGAAAAUAAGACUACAUUUCUAAAAGUGGCUCAGGUUCAUAUAUUUAUGUUUGAUAUCAAUCAGUUAUAAAUUUCCUUCACAUUUCUAAAAUUUUAAGAUCUUCCAUAUCUGGUACAUCUUAUAAUAUCGUAUUUAUCUACUAACCCAAUUUUCUCAUAGGGACUUAACACGAAGCAGAAGGGGUAUUAGGUGGUAGGUGGCUAAGGGUGUUAUGAUAGGGUGAAAGGGUGAGAAAGGGAGGGAGAAAAAUAGAAUGAUGGAGAGGGUGAGGGUAUAUGAUUGUGCGUGGAAUAUAGAGAGGGAGUUAAUCUGUGAGAGAAUGUGAUUUCAUAGUAAGGGCAGGGUGUACUGGUCUGGAAGUAUAGGUUCUGUUUUGUCUCAUGUAGUUUCUGUUUUCUACAUCAAUCUGAUAAGUUUAAAUAUAGAGAAAUUGCUGUCGUCUAAAAGUUCACAGGUUAACAGCCUUU